rnacentral:lncRNA from 1 species
UUUUCAUUUCCAUUCUCUUUUGCACAUCACUUUUAUAUAUUAUCUUUUGCAAGUUUUCAUUUCAUUUCGUGAGUUCUUAUUUUAGUCUGAUAUCCAACAUUUGGUAUCAGAGCGGUUGAGAAACAAGGUUGAAGAGGGUGUUGCCGGUUUGAGAGUCGGUGGCAGAAAGUUGGCAGCCACUAGGGCUUAAUCGAAUGAAGGGCUGAUCAAUGUUGUGAUCAGAAGAAAGACGCAAGAAGCAGUGAUUGAAGUUUAGAUUGAGAAAGAAUUGAAGCAACAACAGUACCGAUCGCGGCUUGGUGAUCGGAAGCAAGAAAAUGGGUUUUUAACCCAAAGAAAGAAAGGGGAGUAGCACUCUAACUGCAGAGAAAGAAAAGAACAAGAAAGUAGACGAUUUCAUGUGAGAAAUCGCAAGAAAGAAAGAAGAAAGAAGUGCUGAUUGAAAUCAGCGAAGAAAGAACGAAGAAAAGAAAGAAAGUUGGGUUCAAAUCUUUGAAUCCUUAAGAAAGAAAGAAAGAAAGAAAGAAGAGGCGCCACAAGAAAGAAGAAAGUAGGAAAGAGGUAGGCGUCGCUUAGCAAGAAAGAAAGGCCUCGCAAGAAAGAAAGAAAGAGACCGGUGUAUGAAGAAAGAAAGAAACAGAAAGCAUCGGCUAGAAAGAAGAAAGUAUGAGCGUCGAUUAGAAAGAAAGAAUGAAAUUGACUGCCCGAAGAAAGAAAUAAAGAUAAAUCAAGAACUCGAAUAGCAAGAAUGGAUCUACGAGUUCUACGGGUCAUGUGUGGCUCGUAGCAAGAAGAAAGAUUGAACCUUUAUGGUUCAAGUAGCAAGAGAAUCCAUUGAAGUAAGCAUGUGAAAGGAAAAAGUAAAAUUGUUGCUGAGUUCAAGAAAGAAAGGCUGGUCUCAUUUGAAGUUGUCUCAUAAAGUCAACAAUUUGAUGUUGAGGUAUUUUGAGUAGUAGCAAUGAGAUGGUAUUAUUCAGGAUUUUUUUUCUUCAUGCUCAACACAUGGGAGAAGGGCAAUACCUGGCAGAAGAAGGAUUUCAAAGUGAAGGUGAAUUAGAAAGAAAAGUUUAGUAAGAUAUCGAUGAAAGAUUCUAGCAAGAAAAACAGAAAAACACGAGCAAGAGACGAGUCGGAUCGUGAAGUGAUCAAGAAAGAAGCAAGUGAUUCAGCAAGGCUUGUAGCAAAGAAUAACAAAGAACUAGAUCAAGAUUAAGGGGGUGAAUGUUAGAAUUAAUCUUGAUUUUAGUUUUAUUAUUUAGUAUUUUCGUUGUUAGUUGAUUGCAUGGAAUAAGCUUGUCUUCGAAGGUUCAAGAGGAUGUUGUAGA